GACGAACGCUGGCGGCGUGCUUAACACAUGCAAGUCGAACGGAAAGGCCCUGCUUUUGUGGGGUGCUCGAGUGGCGAACGGGUGAGUAACACGUGAGUAACCUGCCCUUGACUUUGGGAUAACUUCAGGAAACUGGGGCUAAUACCGGAUAGGAGCUCCUGCUGCAUGGUGGGGGUUGGAAAGUUUGGGCGGGUGGGGAUGGACUCGCGGCUUAUCAGCUUGGUGGUGGGGUAGUGGAUUACCAAGGCUUGGACGGGUAGCCGGCCUGAGAGGGUGAGCGGCCACAUUGGGACUGAGGUACGGCCCAGACUCGUACGGGAGGGAGCAGUGGGGAAUAGUGCACAAUGGGCGGAAGCCUGAUGCAGCAACGCCGCGUGCGGGAUGACGGCCUGCGGGUUGUAAACCGCUUUCGCCUGUGACGAAGCGUGAGUGACGGUAAUGGGUAAAGAAGCACCGGCUAACUACGUGCCAGCAGCCGCCGUAACAC
rnacentral:rRNA from 1 species